rnacentral:lncRNA from 1 species
CGUAUUCACUAUUCCUGUUGAUUCAUGAUAUAUUGACUGCUUCGGUGAUCAUUUUAUUAUAGUUCUUUAUCUUGUAUUCCCCACAGUAUGUUCUCCUCCCGACAUUUGCUAUUUAGUUCUUCAUUUCUGUUAUUUGUAUAUACACUGUUAAAUUGUACAGGUUGAUUUGUAGGUGCCUUGCCUUAGCAUCGUCACUACUUCGUCGAGGUUAGGCUCGACACUCACCAGUACAUGUGGUCGGUUGUACUGAUACUGAACUCUGCACUUUCUGUGCAGAUUUUGAUACCGGCUCUGGUUGAUCGAGAUUUUUCUAUUGGUCCGCUGUCCGGAGACUCAAGGUAGAUCUGUCGGCGUUCACACACCUUGAAGUUCUCGUCUAUCUUUUCUGUUCUAUUGUUUCUUUCAUUCAGACAAUUGUAUUUCUUUUUGACCAUUACUUGUAGAAUAUUCUAGAAUGCUCAUGAAUUGUGACUUCAGAUCCGGGUGGUAGUAAUUAAUACAGUUUUAUGAUAUUUUGCACUUAUUAUAUUUAAUCUUUGUUAAUUAUUGUUAAUUACUGAAUGGGAAUAAGGAAUUGGUUUAAUGAUUCUCUAACGUUGGCUUACCUAGCAAGUGAAAUGUUAGGCGCCAUCACGAUCCCGUCGGUGAAAAAUUUCGGGUUGUGAUAACGUCUCAAAGAAAAACUUCUAAAGAAGGAAUUAAAGGAAAAUAUCUUUUUGGAUUUGUGAAAAUUGGGGACCGGAACCGAUGAGGUUUGCCUACGUAUCUCACAUCCGGUGAGAAUCAGACAUGCGUAGUUUGGUCGGUGUUGACAUAACAGAAAACAUGAUUUUCUUUUUGUUUUUUUUUUUUUAAAAUAUUUGGCUUAUUUUUUAAAUGACUCUUCUUUGUUUUUUUCAAAAUUACGGCAGAGUUUCAGGACUUUUCAAAUACCUAGAUUUUUUAGAACUGGGUAAGUUUCUUUCUCCUCACUCUUGUUUUUUCUUGAUUUUCUUUCCCUAUUCUAGAAGAUGUUCAACAUGCAAGCCGAAACAAACAAGUGCACAAGUAACACGUUAAAUGCAUUAGGAUGGUCUUUUAAAUUGGGUACACCUGUCCUAGACGGACCCAACCCGUGUGUUGAGUCCCCAAAGUCAAAUGCACGUGAUGCAAACAAACAUACCUACUAGGGAUCCCGCAUGAGGUUCGUUCUUCUAUGUUUAAAUCAUAGUGGAGAAAGGUAUCUAGACUGGCUUACUCGAACGGACAACUCGAGCCGAGGAGGGUCACCGUACCGGUAGCAUUACUUUUCGUCUUAGCUGGUGGUGCUCCUUGCCUAAAAUAUGUGUGACUAAAAAUCCUUCACCGGGUGGCAAGCACCUCGGCUAUCUCAAAGAAAGCGGGUUAUGUCAAGCAAAUGCCCAAUUUUAAUUUCAAGAAGACUUAGAGGGGGUGCGUGAGAAGACAAUUUAUAUAUACAGUUCAAUAAUAUCAAAGCAGUAAAAAGCAGGCAAGUAGCACAUUAGACCCAAAUAAAUCACAGCAUAUACAAAAUUAAUAAAGGCAAAUAAAAGUCAACAUUUACAAGCUCGAAUUCUGAUAUCCCCAGCAGAGUCGCCAGAGAUGUCACACCCCUUUUCUACCCCAAAAGAUGUAUAGUUAUGGAUUGNNNNNNNNNNNNNNNNNNNNGAAGGGUGAUGUCGUGCCAUAUUGUGAGUGUUAAUGCACGAAGGGUGAUGUCAUACCAUAUUGUGAGUGUUAAUGCACGAAGGGUGAUGUCGUGCCAUGAUAUGAGACUUAAUGCACGAAGGGUGAUGACGUGCCAUUUCUAUUAAUUUUAUGAUGAGAUUGAGAGUAAAAGCACGAAGGGUGAUGCCGUGCAUUUUUUCUUACCGUAUUCACUAUUCCUGUUGAUUCAUGAUAUAUUGACUGCUUCGGUGAUCAUUUUAUUAUAGUUCUUUAUCUUGUAUUCCCCACAGUAUGUUCCCCUCCCGACAUUUGCUAUUUAGUUCUUCAUUUCUGUUAUUUGUAUAUACACUGUUAAAUUGUACAGGUUGAUUUAUAGGUGCCUUGCCUUAGCCUCGUCACUACUUCGUCGAGGUUAGGCUCGACACUCACCAGUACAUGUGGUCGGUUAUACUGAUACUGAACUCUGCACUUUCUGUGCAGAUUUUGAUACCGGCUCUGGUUGAUCGAGAUUUAUCUAUUGGUCCGCUGUCCGGAGACUCAAGGUAGAUCUGUCGGCGUUCACACACCUUGAAGUUCUCGUCUAUCUUUUCUGUUCUAUUGUUUCUUUCAUUCAGACAAUUGUAUUUCUUUUUGACUAUUACUUGUAGAAUAUUCUAGAAUGCUCAUGAAUUGUGACUUCAGAUCCGGGUGGUAGUAAUUAAUACAGUUUUAUGAUAUUUCGCACUUAUUAUAUUUAAUCUUUGUUAACUAUUGUUAAUUACUGAAUGGGAAUAAGGAAUUGGUUUAAUAAUUCUCUAACGUUGGCUUACCUAGCAAGUGAAAUGUUAGGCGCCAUCACGAUCCCGUCGGUGGAAAAUUUCGGGUUGUGAUAACGUCUCAAAGAAAAACUUCUAAAGAAGGAAUUAAAGAAAAAUAUCUUUUUGGAUUUGUGAAAAUUGGGGACCGGAACCGAUGAGGUUUGCCUACGUAUCUCACAUCCGGUGAGAAUCAGACCUGCGUAGUUUGGUCGAUGUUGACAUAACAGAAAACAUGAUUUUCUUU